CGUAGGAUGGUGCCCCCCACCCCUAACUCCUCUAGCCGGUGCAGCAUGAUACCAUGGUCGAUGGUAUCAAAAGCCGCUGAGAGGUGUAAUAGGACCAGGACAGAGGAACAACCCCUGUCCCGAGCCCUCCAGAGAUCAUCAACCAACGCGACCAAUGCCGUUUCCGUGCUGUACCCAGGCCUGAAGCCCGACUGGAACAGAUCCAGAUACGACGAUUCAUCCAGGUACUGGGGGAGCUGUCGCUGUGAUCAUCUUUUUUGACCUUCUGACAAGCAAAGUCAAUGGGGAACCUAGAUUCACUUAACAACCGCGCUAUUAAUUUAACAGUUGCAGUGAUUCAUUUAACAACUGUGGCAAGAAAGGUCGUAAAAUGGAGCCAAACUCACUUAACAAAUGUCCCACGUAGCGACAAAUUUUGGGUUCAAUAGUGGUCGUAAGUCAAGGACUACAUGUAUUCGUGGUCAUUUGAGGGCUGUUCAGUUUUCAUACUUAAAUUGCAGCUUUGGGUGGAGAGUUGAUGGAUAAUCCCCUAUAUACCUGUACCUUUAUACAGUACAGGUAUAUAGUCCUCAACUUACAAGAGUUCUUUUAGUGACCGUUCAAAGUUUCAAUACCACUUAUGGCUGCUUUUCACACUUACGACUGUUGCAGUACCCCAUGGUCAUGUGAUCAAAAUUCAGACAUUUGGCAACUGGCAUGUAUUUGUGAAAGUUGCACUUUCCCGAGAUCAUAUGAUCCCCUUUUGCGACCUUCAAAAGUCAAGGUCAACGGAGGAAGCCAGCUUCACUUAACAACCGUGUUACUAAUUUAUCAACUGCAGUGACUCACUUAACUGUGGCAAGAAAGAUAAUAAAAUAGGGCUAAACUCACUUAGCAACUGUCUCGCUUAACAACAAAUUUUUGUGAUCAUACGUCGAGGACUACCUGAAGUUCAGUGUUUGUGGGAAUAUAUUGAUAGGAUAGGAUUUGCAUAAAGCAAACAUUACAUAUGCAUGAAAAGAUGUAGCAACAUUUGGAAAGCUACGUACCACUAUUGUCUUUCUGCUUCCAGGCCAUGAAAUUUCCUCUCUGCAAUAGAUCCUAUCUUAAGCUAGCAAUGGUAAUGAAGGAAAGCAGGGAUAAGGUUUAGCUCAGUUCUGGGUUUUUUUCCCUUUGCUUCUAGAAAUGUCAAGGGUGCCUUGUGUAUUUGUUUUUUCAUCACCAUUUUAAUGUUUCUUUACAAUUAUGCAGGAACUGAGAACAUUUCCAAAUCCUGCCUGGGGUUAUUUGUGAAGAGAACAUAUUUUCUCUUUCCGUUCUGGGCAGGCUGACUUUCCAAGAUGUGAUUGUAUUUAGUGCUAAAAGGUGUUGGACUAAUGUGGAUUCAAGUUCAUUCUUGUGCAUAGAAACUUACUGGCUGAUUUUGAACCAGUUACAUUUUGUCAGCCAAACCGGCCUACUUGAACUCCAGAAAUAAAUUAGAAGAUAAUCCAAGAAAUUUAAAAAAUAGUUGAACUCAGGACCACAUUUUUUUUUAAAAAAAAUUGAUUUAUAUGCUGCCCUUCUCGGGAGACUCAGGGCGGCUUACAGUGCGUUAAGCAAUAGCCUUCAUACUUUUGUAUAUUUUAUACAAAGUCAGCUUAUUUCCCCCACAAACUGGGUCCUCAAUUUACCUACCUUAGAAAGGAUGGAAGGCUGAGUCAACCUUGAGCCUGGUGAGAUUUGAACUUACAGUAAUUGCAGACAGCUGGUGUUAAUCACAGUGCUAUCAGUCUGCUGAGCCACCAGGCCCAUAUCAUAGUCUCAUGUCAAGUCGUAUUAGAGUAUUACAAGAACGUGCCUUCUCUGCGUAAGGAUUAAUCAGAAUAGAGCUGGAAGGGACCUUGGAAGUCUUCUAAUCCAUCCCCCUCUCAAGCAGGAGACCCUACAUCAUUUCAGACAAGUGACUGUACAGUCUCUUCUUAAAAAUGUCCAGUGAUGGAGUGCCCGUGAUUUCUGAAGGCAAACUGUUUCACUGGUUAAUUGUUCUCACCGUUAGGAAGUUUCUCCUUAAUUCCAGGUUGCUCCCCUCUUUGAUUAGUUUCCAUCCAUUGUUUCUUGUCCGGCCUUCUGCUUUGGAAAAUAAGUUGACCCCAUCCUCUUUGUGGCAGCCCCCCCCCCCCACCGGAAUACUGCUAUCAUGACCCCCCUCCCCAGUCCUUCUUUUCUCUAGACUAGCCAAACCCAGUUCCUGCAACUGUUCUUAUAGUUUUUAGUCUCCAGGCCUUUUAAUCAUCUUAGUUGCUUUUCUCUACACUUUUUUCCAAAGUCUCACCAUCUUUUUUGUAACAGGACCAAAACUGGACGCAGUAUUCCAGGUGUAGUCAUGCUAAGGCUUUGUAAUACUUUGUGUGAUUUUGAUCCUCUGUUUAUACAGUUAUACAAUCAAAUUAUACAAUAAAAAUAUAAGUGGAUUCAUUGUUAUCUUGAUCAAACAAUGCUGAUGAUAAGAGUGUCUCACCUUUAACUGAACUAUUUAUGAUCAUCUUUGUCCAUCCUACUUUGUAGGCUUGUUGUGAGGGAAGAUGGAGGGACCUUUGAGCUCCAGGAGAAAAGCUCUCUUAAGGCCAGAUCCCUUUUCAUUGCAGCAUCCAGCAGAUGAGCCAAGCCAAGCCAAGUGUAUUUGAAAGAGCCAUGUAUCAAGAGGCAAAAAUUAAUUUUGAGUAUCGGGUUGCAGAAAUGGAAGUUGUUUAAAAUCCAGACCAAAAUGUACAUGGAAGAGAGAAAAGCAAGAUAUGUACAUAGAAAAGGCAUCCAACAAGGUUACUCUGUAGGGAGAAAAAUGGCUCUAUAAAUAAUAUAAACGCUGAGAAGACCUUUAGUGUUGCUACAAAGACCAUCAUUUCUCAAAUAUUUACCGAGUAAAGAAAUCAUAUUAGCCCUGGAAUGAGGAAAGAGCUGUACUCAGAAUGCAAAUCUUACCAAGCAUUGAAGAAUUUAUAUAGAGGAGAAACCGUGUAAGUGCAUGAAAUGUUGCCUUAGAUAUCUGAAAGAAUGAUUAUUAUUUCUUAUUAUUUAUUUAAAUUUAUUGGCUGCCCAAUUCCAAUGCGGUGUUCUUUCAGUGAAUUCAUACAGAAGAGAACAUAUAAAUGCCACUGGACUCAAAUUUUGCAGCCUCGGGGCUUCAGAAAUUCUAUUGUGCUGAAUAUUAAUAGUCAACACUAAAGAAAGCAUGUUUUAAGGAGAAGCAGAAAACUAUAAAUCUUUAUUUAGGCUUAACUCAGAGGAAACUCGGCCUAAUCCCUCUGCAGAAACGGAGGAAAGUCUUAGAAAUCUCAGCUUUCUCCACUAUUAAUUGACCCAGCCAAUGCAAUUAUGGAUGUUGGUCAUCUCUUUCAUGAAAUCAAGUUGCUGAGAACAUGAGCUGCUGCCCUGUUGUGACCAUGUGUUUUAUAAAGAAGCCUUCCAAAAGACAAUAUUUCCCAAUUUUGACACCUUUAAAUUAAGUGGACUUCAGCUCCCAAUAUUCUCCAGCCAGGGGAAUUGUGGAAGAUGGCAAGCAUGUUGUAAAACCUUGCCCAAAGGCUUCUGAUAGCCUUCCAAACACUUAGUAAAAUGGAGCUCUUUUGGAAGAAUUUGGUUUAGUUUUGGGGAUAGUGCUGUCUUGUGUUAUUCUAAUGGCCGUACUAAUUCCUGUAUUAUGAAAAUCAAGGAAGUCACUAUAUAUGUAGUUGCCCUUGCCACCUAUGAGCAGAUUGCCUAUAGAUGUUGUCUUUGUGUGGACAAAUUAAUUGAGAUAUGGGACUCAU